UGGGACACUAUCGAUGACAGCCCACCGCUCAUCUGACCUCCGCGUCUCUGCCAUCACGCGACACGUUUAGUCCCCGCUGCACCACCCGGGGAAGUGUGUUUCCAGUUAGAAAUGUCCACCAGCUGACACUACAGAGCAUACACACACCUGGAGAAGUCACAGAGCACUGGAGAAGUUCUAAACUUCUCCAGUGCGUUUGACACCUUCUAGCCAGGCAGGCUGGCUCCUGAGCUCUAUGUGGUGGAGAUGGACCGGAACCUUGUGUCCUGGAUCACAGAAUACCUCACUGACAGGCCUCAGUGUGUCAGGCUGCAGGACUGCUCUUCAGACUGUUGCCUGGGACACCCCACUCCUGUCACCAUUACACCGUUGACUUCUUAUACAAUACAGGAACAUGCCAUCUACAAAAGUUCUCUGCAACUCCUCCAUCGUCGGCUACAUCGCAGAGGACAUCGAGUAUAGAGACCUGGUAGGGAGUUUUGUAGGAUGUGUGGCAGAAAUCAAUUACAGCUCAACAUUAGUCAAAUCAAGGAGCUGCAGUGGACCUCUGAGGUAGAGGAAGCUCCUCCACCACUGUUGUGAUUAAUAGAGACGGGGUGAGCCAGUUUGUUAUUCAGAUACACUGGGUCGUCAGAGUAGAGUCUUCUUAGUGUUCUUCUUGUUGCUCUGCAAAGCUUGAGUGAACAAAGACAGUAUUCAGCCCUAAUUUUAUCAUCUACAUGUUAAUCCCCGUCAGUUAGUUGUAGUAGUAGCAGUAUUUGUCCUUUAGGUACUCUGGUUGAGCCUGUGGUAAUGUCAGUGUGCUGAGACGGAUGGGGAGAUCUUUUUUUGUUCUAAAGCUACUCGUUCCACAUGCCACGUUUGGAGUGAAAGUAGUGGAAGAAGUUCCUCAAGUAGAUCCUAUCCACUUCCAAGCCGGACUUAAUGAUCCUAGAACAGAGGGACAGUAUUUGGGUUUAGUAUUAGGUUCAAGCAUAAGAAAAAACAUGAGAGGAGGAAGAUGUCAUUGGUGCAUGUGACAAUAAACUUUGAUUUGAUUUUGA